GACGAACGCUGGCGGCGUGCUUAACACAUGCAAGUCGAACGAGAAGAGAUGAGAAGCUUGCUUCUUAUCAAUUCGAGUGGCAAACGGGUGAGUAACGCGUAAGCAACCUGCCCUUCAGAUGGGGACAACAGCUGGAAACGGCUGCUAAUACCGAAUACGUUCUUUUUGUCGCAUGGCAGAGGGAAGAAAGGGAGGCUCUUCGGAGCUUUCGCUGAAGGAGGGGCUUGCGUCUGAUUAGAUAGUUGGUGAGGUAACGGCCCACCAAGCCGACGAUCAGUAGCCGGUCUGAGAGGAUGAACGGCCACAUUGGGACUGAGACACGGUCCAGACUCCUACGGGAGGCAGCAGUGGGGAAUCUUCCGCAAUGGCGAAAGCCUGACGGAGCGAACGCCGCCGUGAGUGAAGAAGGUUUUCGGAUCGUAAAGCGUCUGUUGUAAGAGAAGAACGGAUGUGGGAGUGGAAAAUCC
rnacentral:rRNA from 1 species